rnacentral:tRNA from 1 species
GAAGGCGUAGCUCAGCUGGUAGAGCAACGGACUUUUAAUCCGUAGGUCGAGGGUUCGAGUCCCUCCGCCUUCA